AGGAGCGGAAGAGAAUUCUCACAAGGAGCACAAGGAUUUUGGCAGACUGAGUUCACUCCUGUAGUGCCCAAGUACUAAUCCCAACCAGCAGCUCUGUUCAUCGGCAGAACCAGAACAGGGGUUCACUCUGACCAUGGAACUUGACAAGUUACCGAUCUGCCUGAUUCAGAUCCUCAAAUAAGGAAUUUUGCUGGCUCAAGAACCCAGUUGGCCCAUGUACAGGCAAGGAGGUGAAUCAGCCCAUCCACUAUGAAGAGUGUCUUCUGGACCCAUCUGACCAGAGGAGCUGGCAACAAUUCCUAGAAGCUCUGUGAUUAAGCAGUGCUCAAACCAAGAGGUCAAAUUGUGUUGCUGGCUGCAUGGGAGCAAGAGUGUUGUGCUGGUCUCCACUUGGGCCAGUAAUCACUCCAUGUGUCUGUGCAUGCUGUCGGCAAACGAUCAGCACUAUAUGAAGGACCUAGACUUCCUGGCCUCUCAUUGGAAUAUUUCAGGAGUAACAUCACCUGACGACAGGACUUGUGGCUGUGAGAUGAUGCAUCGCUAUAAGAAUUCAACACAUGGGGAAUAUGGACACCAUAGCCAGAGCUCGAUUAACAAUCUUGGAUUAUCUAUUUAACUGGGCCAUGGAAACUACAAACAGAAGAGCAGCAAGAUAGCAAGAGCUUGGGUCUUUGGCUUUUUAAACGUGAAAAAUA